rnacentral:rRNA from 1 species
AUACGGAGGAUCCGAGCGUUAUCCGGAUUUAUUGGGUUUAAAGGGUGCGCAGGCGGGAGAUUAAGUCGGCGGUGAAAUUUUGCAGCUCAACUGUAAAAGUGCCUUCGAAACUGGUUUCCUUGAGUGUAGAUGAAGUAGGCGGAAUUUGUGGUGUAGCGGUGAAAUGCAUAGAUAUCACGAGGAACUCCGAUUGCGCAGGCAGCUUACUAGGCCAUAACUGACGCUCAGGCACGAAGGCGUGGGGAUCAAACAGGAUUAGAUACCCUGGUAGUCCACGCAGUAAACGAUGAUUACUCGCUGUUUGCGAUACACAGUAAGCGGCUUAGCGAAAGCGUUAAGUAAUCCACCUGGGGAGUACGUUCGCAAGAAUGAAACUCAAAGGAAUUGACGGGG